GACGAACGCUGGCGGCGUGCUUAACACAUGCAAGUCGAACGGAAAGGCCCCUUUGGUGGUACUCGAGUGGCGAACGGGUGAGUAACACGUGAGUAACCUGCCCUUGACUUCGGGAUAACUUCAGGAAACUGGGGCUAAUACCGGAUAGGAAUCCUUGCUGCAUGGUGGGGGUUGGAAAGCUUCGGCGGUUUUGGAUGGACUCGCGGCUUAUCAGCUUGUUGGUGGGGUAGUGGCUUACCAAGGCUUUGACGGGUAGCCGGCCUGAGAGGGCGACCGGCCACAUUGGGACUGAGAUACGGCCCAGACUCCUACGGGAGGCAGCAGUGGGGAAUAUUGAACAAUGGGCGGAAGCCUGAUGCAGCAACGCCGCGUGCGGGAUGACGGCCUUCGGGUUGUAAAACGCUUUCAGCAGGGGCGAAGCUUGUGGUGACGGUACCUGCAGAAGAAGCACCGGCUAACUACGUG
rnacentral:rRNA from 1 species